CUGAUUCCUGCCUUCUUCUCACGUCUUCCCAAACUUCAGGCCAAAGUUACACUCCUUUUUUUGUUGUUUUUGAAGAGCUAUUUUUGUUGUCCUGGCCUAUUUCAUAUGAUGCACCAGUCCACGCAACGGGAAUGUCCCUCAGCCAGCUGCUUCUCGGGACAGGCUUCAUCUUCUCUGCAGCGCUGCGGGCAAACCAGCAGAGCAUGCCCUGUGCCAGUGCUGGAGGACAACUGUGUUACCGUGAUGCCCGGGUCUGCUCCUUGCUCCCUUCCCACUGCUGCACCGGCUGGCGCUGUUUUGGCACGGCUGGGGCUGCCUGGGUGCGUGAGCCAGCGCUCGGUCUGGGAGAGACUGGCUUGGCGGCUGUGGCAGCUCUGGCGUCACCAGUUCUGGGCCACUGGUACAUUCUUCGGCGACAAGAGCAUCACCCCUCAUUGCUUUCAUGGCUUUUUGCCGGACUGAAGCAAGCAACAGUGGUUAGACAUGUCCGUGGCCACAUGAGGCACGGCUGUGUCCAUCAGUGCCCCGCCGUGAGUCUGCAGUCAACCCUUGGCGGAGAGGUCCCUCCCGGGAGCCACGACCGCUGCCACGGACAGUUUUGGAGGUGGGAUGGCAGGCAGCAGCAAACUUUUUCUCCCUGCUGUGCCGUGUCUGUUGCUCCCCAAGGGAUCACAAAGCCGUAAUGCAACUGCAGAGGGUGCCCGGGGCGCUUGUGCCAUAGCGCCUCUCUUCUCCAGCAAAGUUGGUUUUGUUCUGCUGGAGAAUAAGUUUUACCAUCAGAAAAUGCAGAUUUGAUUUUGAUUUGCAGGGAGAAAAUAGUAGCCAAAGCAGUUUAUUUUGGUAAGGUUGAAGCCCUGAUGCUUCUGUCCUACAAAGCCUACACUGUAAUUGUAUAGAUAGAAAAAGAGUAACAUUGGCGUGAGAUUGUUCCAACUGAACCAAAACGAUUUUAUUUUUUCCUGCUUGAAAAUAUUGUCUAGAGUCAAAUUUUGCAUUUUAAGAUUUUUGUUCCAACUUGGCUGAAACCCGGAUAGUGAGAUGACGAGAUUUCCUGCGAAAUGGGGCUUCUGGGUCCUUGUCCAGCCCCUAAUCCUCUGGUUUACUUGAAAGCUCCUGGCCCCAGCUCCGAGCUUGGCCUUGAUGCUCUCAGAAGGGAAACGCUGUGUCUCACCGAUCGCUGAGCGUGAUUGCAACUUAUGGCUCCUGGCAAGCGCAAAAAAUCACCCCGUGCUUCCUUGUGCCACGCGUGGGGCCGCGGGAGCUGGCGGGGAGCGCAAUGCCUCUGGGUAUCACAUGCACCAGGUGCUGGUGGCGCACAAGAUGCCCUGCGCUUGGGGCUGGGACUCAACCACGGAGGAGAAGGCGAGACGCUUUUGGGAAGGCGAGAUGCUUUUCGAGUGGCUGCUCUCUCCCUUCUGGCACCCUGGGGCCCAAGGGAAACAUCUCACUGGGGGUCUCCAAGGUUUGGCAUCCUCCGCCUCCUCCCAGCUCCACGGCGAGGCAAAGACCCAGCUGAGCUCCUGGCUGGUGCCUCAGCCCCGCGUCGUCGUCCCAUCUCCAAAACACAUCCCUGGGCAGGUUUCCAGAGAUGUCCCCAGGCGGGGUCCGGCAAGAGGGUUUGCAAGGGGCCGUGGCCGGCCAGGACGUUGUCCCCCUCUUCCUGCCGCCG
rnacentral:lncRNA from 1 species